GACGAACGCUGGCGGCGUGCUUAACACAUGCAAGUCGAACGGAAAGGCCCUGCUUUUGUGGGGUGCUCGAGUGGCGAACGGGUGAGUAACACGUGAGUAACCUGCCCUUGACUUUGGGAUAACUUCAGGAAACUGGGGCUAAUACCGGAUAGGAGCUCCUGCUGCAUGGUGGGGGUUGGAAAGUUUCGGCGGUUGGGGAUGGACUCGCGGCUUAUCAGCUUGUUGGUGGGGUAGUGGCUUACCAAGGCUUUGACGGGUAGCCGGCUUGAGAGGGUGACCGGCCACAUUGGGACUGAGAUACGGCCCAGACUCCUACGGGAGGCAGCAGUGGGGAAUAUUGCACAAUGGGCGGAAGCCUGAUGCAGCAACGCCGCGUGCGGGAUGACGGCCUUCGGGUUGUAAACCGCUUUCGCCUGUGACGAAGCGUGAGUGACGGUAAUGGGUAAAGAAGCACCGGCUAACUACGUGCCAGCAGCCGCGGUGAUACGUAGGGUGCGAGCGUUGUCCGGAUUUAUUGGGCGUAAAGGGCUCGUAGGUGGUUGAUCGCGUCGGAAGUGUAAUCUUGGGGCUUAACCCUGAGCGUGCUUUCGAUACGGGUUGACUUGAGGAAGGUAGGGGAGAAUGGAAUUCCUGGUGGAGCGGUGGAAUGCGCAGAUAUCAGGAGGAACACCAGUGGCGAAGGCGGUUCUCUGGGCCUUUCCUGACGCUGAGGAGCGAAAGCGUGGGGAGCGAACAGGCUUAGAUACCCUGGUAGUCCACGCUGUAAACGGUGGGUACUAGGUGUGGGGUCCAUUCCACGGGUUCCGUGCCGUAGCUAACGCUUUAAGUACCCCGCCUGGGGAGUACGGCCGCAAGGCUAAAACUCAAAGGAAUUGACGGGGCCCCGCACAAGCGGCGGAGCAUGCGGAUUAAUUCGAUGCAACGCGUAGAACCUUACCUGGGUUUGACAUGGAUCGGGAGUGCUCAGAGAUGGGUGUGCCUCUUUUGGGGUCGGUUCACAGGUGGUGCAUGGCUGUCGUCAGCUCGUGUCGUGAGAUGUUGGGUUAAGUCCCGCAACGAGCGCAACCCUUGUUCACUGUUGCCAGCACGUUAUGGUGGGGACUCAGUGGAGACCGCCGGGGUCAACUCGGAGGAAGGUGGGGAUGACGUCAAGCCAUCAUGCCCCUUAUGUCCAGGGCUUCACGCAUGCUACAAUGGCUGGUACAGAGAGUGGCGAGCCUGUGAGGGUGAGCGAAUCUCGGAAAGCCGGUCUCAGUUCGGAUUGGGGUCUGCAACUCGACCUCAUGAAGUCGGAGUCGCUAGUAAUCGCAGAUCAGCAACGCUGCGGUGAAUACGUUCCCGGG
rnacentral:rRNA from 1 species